CAGUUUGGCAUGUUGACCACGUAUUUGGACAUGCCCGGCAUGGACGACUAUCUGCAGCUGCAGCAGGACUUCAUCGCCUGCACAGUCCACACCAAGCAUGGCUGCGCCACUCACCCACGAAGCAUCGCUGAGAGGGAAAGAAGAGCAAGCAAUAGCAAGAGGCUAAGGAGGCUGCAAGACUUUGUGCCCAAUAUGGACAAGCAAACAACUAUGUCAGACAAAGAUCUGGAGUACCUGCUCAUAUCUGGUGAGCGGGUAGCCUCUCGCCCCAAACGCCCAAGCUCCUGGUGGUAUCCUACUCCACUCGGUUUCUUCUUCUUCCAUGCCUACACAGCUCUAGCUUUUUUUUAGUUUAGCCCGUCUAAAUUUCUGUCAUAUAAAAUCUUAUGAAACAAUGUGCUACUAUUCUUAUUACUGAACUAUGUCAAUCUGUUUUUUUUAAGUUGGGGAGUGAUGAAUCGAACAAGGAGGAAGGCCGACGUGUUUGUUCUUCAACCAUUUCCCUCUGAAACCUAGAAAAUUGGGGGGGAUCAUGGCUGGAGCAUAUGUGAACUUGGCCUCCGGUCAUUUGAGUCAGAUCGUGCUUGGGAGAGUAGCAUGUGUCUGAUGAGAACGGUGAUGUGGCGGACGAGCUCGCCUGCUCCUGUUAUGAGGACGAAUGAAACGAGGUCUCGUGGCAGCUAGCAAUUAUGACGGGUGGAAAUACAGGUUUGCAUUGACGCAGAAAAGACAGACAUACCGUAGCAGGACUGCAUGAUGUACUGGCGGUACAGGUCGUACCGAACGAGGUGUGCAGUCCACGAAUCACGGCGUCAGUCCGACAAGUGGUGGGCCCAUUUAAUACGACAUCUCACGGGUUGGCUGGUUCUGUUUCGUUUCUGUAUCCCCUUGUUUUGAUGCUUAUCGAACAAUGGCGGCCUUGGCGACGGAUGGCGGGACUGGAUCCAGUCGACAGGUUCGCUGUCCCAACCAUGUACGGCAGUGUGUUCUGAGUGGCAAGUUGGCAACCCAGCCGACACUAGAUCUGGUUGAAGCGGACGGCAAGUGCAGAGUGGGAGGAGCCGUGGAUGUGUUCGCGCCUCUCCAACUGAACCUGAACACGCUGUGCGAUACGAGCAGCUUAUCGCCCCCGGACUCUGAACAGUCCACGAGCAAGGACGACCCGCAAGCUCCUGGUUGGACACGGAGGUGAUUUCAUUGUCCUGCACUUUCGUUAAAUUCAUUAAGUAAAUAUGAAAUAUUUUCUUGAGUUUGAAGUAUUGCAGUCAGGAAUUCAUGCUCUCUGAUAAGACACCCAUAUUUUGUGAUUGUGCUUAACUGCAGACAAAAGCUAUGUGAUGCAGGGUGCUUGUUGGACAGGCUCCUGCGCCUUGUUCGGGUAGAGUUUGUGGCCUUGAGAAGACAAUCAGGGGGUUAGCUGAGAAGAAGACUAACACUUGUUAGAAUAAAUCCGAGGCAUACCGUCGAUCAUCCGAGGACCAAGCAAUCACAUGAGCACGACACCGAGAUUUGUUAACGAGGUUCACCGAUAUGGCUACAUCCCCGGGGCUUGACUACGGCGCUCCUCCCCGUGACACCGUCACAAUACCGCACCCGGUCGCCCUGGACACCGGCACAUGCCGCCAGCUUCCCCUGCGUUCCGGUGCUAUUAUGUUGGCAUAGGUUACAUCGUGUGUCUACCCCCGCUAUAUAAGAGAGGCCUAGGAUACAAGUGUCCUACUAGGACACGACUCCAUAUCCUAUGUAAACACGAUACAACUACAAGUCCAACUGUAACCUACCUUGUACACUAUAUUCGACACAACUCUAACAAACUCCACCUUGGCGAAUAUACUCCACCACCCUAGAUUUGUGAAUGCGUCAAACUUCCAUGUACAUUGGACUUGAGUUUAUCCCAUGAGCACCGCUGCUACUCCAAAGACUCCAUGUGACUCCACCUGCAACUUGUAGUCCCUUCUUUUCUUGACCAGAGCCAACAUUCGAGCAAAAUUAAGUUCCUUGUUACUCUAGUUUGG